GCCCCAGCCUCUCCUCCCUCUCGUUUCCAGUCACCAGAACCAAAUCCAGACACCAACGCUCGUGCGGGAGAGAGAGAGAGAGCCGAGGUCAGAGUGCAUCUACCAACGCCGGCCCCGUCCGCGCCUGGAGCUCGGGAGUUCACGACGGGUUAGCGUACUUCGUGAGGUUGCUGGUGAAGCGCUUGUGGCCGAUUGGGGAGGAAUAAACCACUGUGUCGACCAGAAUUCGUCGUCGGUCGCCGGAUUCCGCCACGCACUGUGGGUGGGUCUGGGCGCCCUUCGGAUCUCGGUGAGCAUCUCCCGUAGUGAUACCCCACAAUUACCGCUGUUUGGUACUGCUUUCGGAUAAGAGUUUAGGCAUGAGGAUCGGAGAUUCGGGAGUUCCGGCCAUGGCGCCGCCGUGGUUCACUGGGUUGCGCCGUUGGCGUGUUCCCAGGGGGAAGAAAGGGUCUGGGCCGUCCAUCUGUUGAUCGACGGCUAGAUUAGAAUUAGGCGUACCCCUUUCCCGGCGUGUGAUCCAUGCCAUCGAUUCAUCCGCGGGCGGCUACGAUUUCAUCGCGCCAUCAUCGAUUCUGGAUCAUUGGAUCGGGAUCCAGUGACCCCGAUUUCAUAUCGAUUCACGCCGCUCUAAUCCUGGUCGUUCGUACUUGAUCAGACGACCGAGAUCUAUUAAUACCGUUUUGUGUAGGUAAUUUUGCGUAAGAGUUCCUCGGAAAUCAUAGAUUCAACACGCGGUACGUUGCAGAGGUAAACUGAGUCUUAGGAUUUUUCAUGUAAUAACCCUUGCACUUCGCAGUAUUUGUGCAUGUAGUACAGAGAAACAAAAUACUAAAUAAAUUCAAUUAGAAAAUAUGUAAAAAUAAUUGCAGGAACAUAAUUAAUUCCUAGAAAAAAUCAUUUUAACUCCUUUUUGACCCAUUCCAAUUUCUAUAAUUUGGUAUUAAUAUUGUUUACCAUAUAGUGUCUCCGUUUUAGCAUGAAACCUAUAUUAAAAUUUGUAACUUUCGUACGUGUUGGGGGCCUUCGGCUUCCGAAGGUCCUCAAAAACAUGAUUUAACAAUGUUUCUGGAGUAUAAUACAUGAGCAGGUACCUUCGAACUUGGACCUUUCGGACUUGAGUCAAAAUCACAGUGUGAAGAAGCACAAGGGAUAUGAAGGAUGGAACGAAGCCGAAGCUGUGCGCAAGGGAGCUUCGGCGUGAUAACAGAAAAAGAAACCGACUUAAAGGGGAAAAUGCUAUCUAGACCCCGAUGAAUUACUGUAGAAUUAUUAGCAAAUGUAAAGGGCAUGAGUGUAAUUUUACAUGGGCUACGUCCCGUGCCUAUAAAUAGAUGAAUAGUGCUCCAGCACUGUUCACACUGACUUGGCAUUUGCUUUUGCAUCACGCUUGUACUCUUUACCUUCCCUCAAGUCGAAGGUACAUUUGCAAUAUGAUAUCAUUUUUAUUUCUUCAUAGUAAUAAAAUAGAAAUGAUUCAGUAAUAACAACAUAUUUAAUUGUUCAUGUUGUCUCUUAUACUUCGUAUGAUUUCCUAUCUAUUUUUAUAUGUCGUGCUUACGAAGGUAAGUCCUUCGUAACCUUCGUACGAAAGUCGUUAUAUCCUAAGGGAAAUAAUGCUUCGAAGGACGAAGGACUUUAACGUUUAACAUUCUUUGUGUUGCCUUGCUCUUAAGCCGAAGCACUUGAAAGCAAGUCCCCAACAUUGGCGCCCACCUCCGGUGAACCCUUUCCGACCACUUUCGGCAAGCAUCGACCUUCGUCAUAUCGCCAAAGAAAGCUUCAGCAACAGGGGCUGCCGCUCUGUAGCCGCUGGACUCGAACCAGGAAACCCUUUCUAUUUGGGAGGCCCGAAGCCAGAAGAGGAAGGCCACCAGUCCAAUGCCUCAGGAGGACGACUUGGACCAAGAAAUCAGGAAUAUGGAGAUGCUUCAUCAGCAAGUGCAACGGAAGAAGGAAAAGAUGGCUCGGCUAGCUGACCUACAAAGACAGAUAGACGAAGCAUCUGAAGAAGUUCGUCAUCUUGCUCAGGAUGAGCAAAACUGAAGGCCCCAACACAGAGAGCUUCACCAAGAGGGCUUCGUCAAUGAGGAUGACUGGUAUGAGGACUUCCACCAUGGAAAUUUUGCCUUUGACGAUGCUUCUCCUUUGUCAGCUGAACUGCAGGCUACACCUUGGCCCCCGUCUUACAAACCACCUCAGCUCCCCAUGUAUGACGGACACUCAGAUCCGAAGCAAUUUCUGAUGAGCUACGAAGCAACCAUAUCUUCAUAUGGUGGCAAUACUACAGUCAUGGCGAAAUCCUUCGUCAUGGCAGUAAAAAAUGUUGCACAAACCUAGUACUCCUCUCUUCGGCCAGGAACAAUCACAUCAUGGCAAAAGCUGAAGGACAUGCUUAUCACCAGUUUCCAAGGGUUUCAGACGAAGCCAGUCACUGCUCAAGCUUUGUUCCAGUGCACUCAGGAUCACGAAGAAUACCUUCAGACGUAUGUCUGAAGGUUCUUACGACUGAGGGCACAGGCGCCAACGGUGCCCAAUGAAAUUGUCAUUGAGGCCAUGAUUAAGGGGCUUCGGCCAGGACCUACAGCCCAAUACUUCACCAGGAAACCCCCUCAGACCCUGGAGAAACUGCUUCAGAAGAUGGAUGAAUACAUCCGAGCUGAUAAUGACUUUCGACAGAGAAGGGAGGAAGCCUACAGAUUCUCCGAAAUGACCAGGGGCUUCGGAGGAAGAGUCCAUCCUAGGCACAUCAGAUCAAUUCAUUCCACUCAGAAUGACGAUAGAGGAGGCCGGCAACAAAGGUCACAAUAUUCCUCCCAGGCUUCGGGGCAGCAACAGAGCUAUCAUCGGCCCCUAGCUCCAAGGGGCAGAGGCGCCAGGGGCUUCGGAGGAAGGUUUGAGGAUCUGCCUAGAAAAAUUUAUUGCCUAUUCUGUGGUGAGGACAAGGGCCAUACUACCAGGAUGUGCCAUGUCACCAUCCAGAAACAGAAAGAGAUAGCAGAAGCUGCAGCCCAACAGAGCCAGCCGAAGCAAGUUAUGCAUACUGCUUCGUACCACUCACCGUACAUUCCAGAGUAUGUGGGUAACCAUUCUGCAGCUUCUCUUGCUUCGGCAAGCCAAUCUCAGGCAUCUUGGCAACAACUUCCACCUCCACCACCAAUACAACGAGGCCAGCAGCCAGAAGGGAGCCAGCACACUCAUCAGCAACGAGACUUCAGAGAGGAGUCCGAAGCUCGCACAGUCAACAGUACUGUACCAGAGUCGAAGCACAUCUAUUAGAAGAUAUCCUGCUGCUGAAAUAGUUCUUGCAUUUGUUACCAUUUUUCUUUUUAAUAAGGAACAAUCAUUGAAAGCCUAAGUUUUUCUUGUCGUUUUCAAUUUCUUGUAACAGCUUCGUUUUUGUCAUAGUGAAAAUAUAUCUUAUACACAGACAUACGGAAUCGAAAAAGUUGCCGAAGCAUGAAAACUCGUUCUUAAGAGCUCGUGGUUACAGAAAGUAUCUCCGAAGCUACAAAAAGUCGUUUUAAGUAACGCAGUGUAAGUUUUUGUCGGAGCAACAAAAGUCGUUCUUAAGGGAACGCAGCGUAAGUUUUCUGCUCAAAAGUCGUUCUAAAGGGAAUGCAGAGCUUACAACGAAAAAUAAACGCUGAUACCACCGAAAUAAAAGGUGAAGAAGCUCCUAAGGGAGGCUUACAACGAAAAAUAAACGCUGAUACCGCCGAAAUAAAAGGCGAAGAAGCUCCUAAGGGAGGCUUACAGCGAAAAAUAAACGCUGAUACCGCCGAAGUAAAAGGCGAAGAAGCUUCUAAGGGAGGCUUACAGCAAAAAUUCAACGCUGAUACACCAAAAAAUAAGCGGUGAAGCCGAAAAAUAAACGGCAAAGAGACUGUGUUCUACUGUGGGAACGUGUGUGUAUCUUCGGCACAAAUAUCAUUUUGCAUAUCAUAGCAUCAUCAUAUCAUUCGCAUAACAUGACAUCAUACAUCAUAUUGCAUCAAUGGCACAAGAAGGGAAUACAAUGUUAAUCUUCGGAAAUUGUUUCGAAGAAAUUGUGCGAAGGCACAAAAUAAAGUUUGAAGAAGUACAACUUCGUCAACUUUAGUAUCAGAGGAGAUCUAUUGCUUACGAAGCAUAAUAUUUUCACGAAUAUGGAUAUUCUUCACGAAGCAUGAAAAGAAGGGAAGGUGUUUUUUCGCCAAAGGCUCAAAAACGGUAUGUAUGUAAAGUUUCAUGCAUCGUAAAGAACUGAAUUACAUACAGCUUAUAUAUUACUUUCAAAACUAUAGAAUAUUACACACUUUGUUCAGCAAAUAUUACAUCAGUAUUCUGAAUGUUUUUACAACAAUAGCUAUUCUUCUUUUAAAACUACUUCCGCAGCUUCGUUUAGUAGUUGAGUCACAGCUUUGUCCAUAAUAGCUUCGGCCAUCUUAGUAAUUUCAUCUUCCUUUUUUGCUUCGGGGUCAGCUUGUGACUCGAAGGGCUCUGGGGGAGGAGAUAAUUCGACUACGAUAUAAAAACAUGAAUAAGUUCGAAGUCACAAGAAUAAAACAUAAAGUCAAAAGCAAUUAGACACUACCUAUCCGCCUUUCAAGUUCUGCAGUUUUUUCAGCUGCCUUUGCUGCUUCUCUAGCAUCGUGGGUAUCUUUUUCAUUUUUCUUUAUAAUUUCGUGAGCCAUCCCUCGGCCACCAUUAUCCCAGAUGUCGGUGAAAAACUUUCUGCCAACCAAGCUUGCCUCGGCCGAGGGGUCUUUUGUAUCUUCAAUAGAGAACGCAGCUUCGGCUUGGGCCAGAAUCUUCACAUGUUCGCAUCCUGCCUUCUCUAAGAUAGCCGCAAUUCCCCUGGCACCUGAGAAGGCGCAAACAUCUCCGCGGCCACUCAAAACUUCCUUAAAGGCUUUGGCUUCGCCGUUGAUCCAUUCGAUUGGACCUUCGGGAUCGCCUAGUACGAAGUUGUCCUCAUUUGAGUAUGCGCCAAUAUUGGCGAAGCUGGUUUUUAUCUUCUGUACACAUGCCACAGAUUUUUCAUAGCAUCUUUCUUUUGAAGAACGAAGCUCCACAACUGUUUUUUCCUAGUAAUUUUUCCAGUAGUCACUGGCGUCUCGGUCAGCUUCGGCAAUUGCACAUUUUAAUUUUUCUUCUGCUAGCUGUUUCCGAAGAUCUUCAAUUUUCGCAUUUCUGGGUCUCAGAUUAGGCUUUUGAAGUAGCCUCGUCUUCUUUUAUCUUGUUUAUCAAUGAGUUUAAUAUUUUGUCUUUUUGAAGACCUUCGUUCCUUAGCUCAAUUACUUCGGAACGAAGGUUAUUCAAGGCCAUGGUACAUCCCUCGUCUUCAGCGCUUUUUUGCGCCCUGAGGGCGUUGCUAAGAAUAAGGCCCUGCAAAAGGAGUGUGGUAUUAAGUAUAAGCAAACGAAUUUUUUUUGUUUUUAAGUACAAAAAUCUUAUUCUCUCACCUUUAAGCUGUUGUAUGCUAAGCUGUCGGUCAAUUCAUCUUUUGAUAACACUGAGAGCCCGUCUUCUAGCGUCGGGAAUCUGAAGCUUCUUGCCAUCUCCCGGCAGACAGAGAUCUCCUUGCUGUCUGGGAGACAAUACAAGAAGUCUUCUUCUCCGCUGCCGUUGAAUAUCAACGCCCCUUUUGGAUAUUUUAAUUUCUGGGCAUAAUGAUGAGCUUCUCGCUUUUCCUCUUCAGAUAGCCUUUUGCCCGAAGCAUGUCGUACAAUAUAAUCAGGUACUCUGGAAGAUGCUUUGGGAGUUGAAGAGAGAGUUUUUUCAGGCAGAAUUUGCUUUAUAGCCUCCUUUUUCGUUUCUCCUCCGGUUUCCAAGGAUUUCUCCUUGGCAGGCUGUGAAGGCCCAACUUCGAUCUCAGCCUGGUGCUUUGUAGCUUCGGCUUCAGAGGCUGUUGUCUCAAUUUGUGCUUUUUGAGCUUCGGCAAUUUUCUUCGGAGUAGAGCUUGAAGACUUUAUUGUCUCCAGUACAUCUAGAACAUUAACCAUCCUUUUUCUUUUGGGGGUCAUUGCUGGACCUUUCUGGGUUUUUGGCACUUCAACUUCUGCCGUAGGACUUAAAAUUUCUGAUGUUUUUGUCCCUUCAGCUCUCGGCUCUUCAAUUUUUUCAGCCUUCGGCGUUGCAGUCAGCUCUUCAGUUUUCUGCGCAGGUGUAGGUUCUUUGGCUUCAGUAGCCGAAGAGGUCUCACCGACAAACUCGGGCACUAUGGCUGGUUCAAUAAAGCGUGGUCGGUGAGUAAGGACCUUCACCUUUUUCCUCUUCGGCGCAGGCUCGCUUGGAGCAGCUGAAGCAUCAUCUUUCCCGGAAGUUGCAUCUUUUCUUUUUUGCCCCCGUAGCGGGUAGCGGUAGUCAGGGUACAUGAACCCAAUAGCAUCAAAAACUCGGUUGAGCCUUUUCUUCUUCCGGCCUCCGAAGGCCGCAGAUAACGCAAUAUCUUCUGCCUUCGAGUAUGGCCCAAGCAGUUCAUCGCUUGUAGCUUCAAUGCAUUUCAGCCAAUCAUCAUCUGGCUCAACAAACUUACCUUCGUACCUGAAGGUGAACUUCAUCCUAAUCAACCCACCUUCGUCAGACUUGGUGAUAGUCUCCUUUGGCAUUUCCCACUUUUAUACAAUUGGCCAUACUCUGAAGGCUAUGUGCUCCUGGAUUAAAUCCCUUGUCCAGAUGAAAGAGCAAACUACGCCGAAGGCCCUCUGGCAUUCUUCGGCUGCCUCGUCAAUAUCCACGUUCGGUUUCUGGAGGCCGAAGCGCUGCUAGAUAGGGCGCAUGAUAAUAUCUUUAAUAUCUUCUCGUGCCUUCAAGUCGUUUUUUACAUAGAACCAUUCCUUCAUCCAAUCUCCGGGCCAUCUCUUCCGAAAUGUUGGCACGGGACAGCUUGACCCAGAGCGGGCACCGAAGCUAUAACAACCAAAAUUGUUAUGAUAUUGCUCUUUGCCCUAGGGUUUCGUCUCAUAUAAUAGCUCGUGCAUAUUGCAGAAACUUUUUGCAUUUGGCUCCAAGCCCUGGCUCCUCAUGACCCAUAUGAAGAUUCCCAUUCUUAUGAUUGCUUUGGGAGUAAGUUGAUGAAGGUAGACCUGAUAUAUCUUCAGAACUUCAACCACAAAUCUGUUUAAGGGGAACCGAAGCCCAGCUUUAAAAAAGCUUCGGAAGAUCACAACUUCAUUCUCUUCGGGAGUAGGCACAGUCCUCUCUCCAUCAUCUGCCCUCACAACAGACAUAUCCGGAAAAUAUCUUUCUCUCAUGUUAUCAAGAUGACUCUGUUUAAUACUUGAUUUUCCGAAAACUGUAUGCCUUGGUCGCCAUGGUCGAUCUUCGGAGUCUUCGCCGCCACUUUCCACAUCAUAACUGUCACUUUCACCGGUAUCUUCAGAUAAGCCUUCUAAAAUUUCUCUAGUAAUCUUCUCUGUAUUUGUUUUCGCUAUUGAUUCAAGAAAGCCCAAAUUCUUCUCCUCAGAAAGGCUUAGUUUCAUUUCAGCAACAGCUUUCUUAUCUUGAGACAUCUCUUCGAAAAUGCUGAAAAUGUGCUCUUAAGGCCGAAGCUAAAAAAUCUAAAAAGCUAGGCAAGCAUUUGUAGGCAAGAGCUGUUUGAGCAGGCAAAGAAGAUGGCAAAGAGCAUACCAAGUGAGCUCGCGGUGUGCUCUUAUUUAUACGCCUAGGGCGUUGCAAGUGGGAGGGUCCCGCUUGUCAUUGACUGUUGCUAUUCUAGCAAACGGAAGGUGUUUUUUUGGACCUUCGGCUUAGGGCCUUUGUCCAUAUCGCAAUCUGAAUUUAUCAUCCUAACAAAUUAAUAUUGCGAGGGGCUACUGUUGGGGGCCUUCGGCUUCCGAAGGUCCUCAAAAACAUGAUUUAACAAUGUUUCUGGAGUAUAAUACAUGAGCAGGUACCUUCGAACUUGG
rnacentral:lncRNA from 1 species